UCAAAGUAAAAACUUCAAAGUAUCUUUAUUAAUCUCCCCAAGGAGAAAUCUGUUUUGGACACUGAGAGAAAUUGCUGCAAUACUACAACAGAGACACACAACAAGAACAAGUUAAAACAAUCAAAGGACAAAUGUACAUUGAACAUCUGGGCUACUCAAAGAGCUAUGCAUAUAGCAAAUGACCAUUUUCUAUACUUGUGCAAAAAA